UACUCACUGUGUAAAUAACACACACGGGUCGGCACAUACACCGGGGUGCUCUCAUGCAGAACAUGCAGCUAAAGAGUCGGUGUUAUGGGGCUCGUGGAGGCAUAAC
rnacentral:sRNA from 1 species